rnacentral:rRNA from 1 species
AGAUUGAACGCUGGCGGAAUGCUUUACACAUGCAAGUCGAACGGCAGCACGGGGCAACCUGGUGGCGAGUGGCGAACGGGUGAGUAAUACAUCGGAACGUGCCCAAUCGUGGGGGAUAACGUAGCGAAAGUUACGCUAAUACCGCAUACGAUCUACGGAUGAAAGCGGGGGAUCGCAAGACCUCGCGCGAAUGGAGCGGCCGAUGUCAGAUUAGGUAGUUGGUGGGGUAAAGGCUCACCAAGCCAACGAUCUGUAGCUGGUCUGAGAGGACGACCAGCCACACUGGAACUGAGACACGGUCCAGACUCCUACGGGAGGCAGCAGUGGGGAAUUUUGGACAAUGGGCGCAAGCCUGAUCCAGCCAUUCCGCGUGCAGGAUGAAGGCCUUCGGGUUGUAAACUGCUUUUGUACGGAACGAAACGGUCUGCCCUAAUACGGCGGGCUAAUGACGGUACCGUAAGAAUAAGCACCGGCUAACUACGUG